AUGCAUCCCUCGGAAGGGGGAAACCCCAAUCCCAAACGUGGUUCACCCCCAGGGCGAAUCCGCCCUUGCACUCCGGCAGUGUUGACCCCCCCGAAAACCCCCCAUGUGGGGAUAUCGCCUGCGCAAUUUAUCGUAGUGGGGGGUUGCGUACGCGCUCUCGCCUG
rnacentral:snRNA from 1 species